CCUACGGGUGGCAGCAGUGGGGAAUAUUGGACAAUGGGCGAAAGCCUGAUCCAGCCAUGCCGCGUGUGUGAAGAAGGCCUUCGGGUUGUAAAGCACUUUCAGUGGGGAAGAAAGCCUUGGGGCUAAUACCCUCGAGGAAAGACAUCACCCACAGAAGAAGCACCGGCUAACUCCGUGCCAGCAGCCGCGGUAAUACGGAGGGUGCGAGCGUUAAUCGGAAUUACUGGGCGUAAAGCGCGCGUAGGCGGUCUGAUAAGCCGGUUGUGAAAGCCCCGGGCUCAACCUGGGAACGGCAUCCGGAACUGUCAGGCUAGAGUGCAGGAGAGGAAGGUAGAAUUCCCGGUGUAGCGGUGAAAUGCGUAGAGAUCGGGAGGAAUACCAGUGGCGAAGGCGGCCUUCUGGACUGACACUGACGCUGAGGUGCGAAAGCGUGGGUAGCAAACAGGAUUAGAUACCCUAUAGUC
rnacentral:rRNA from 1 species